rnacentral:rRNA from 1 species
GAUGAACGCUGGCGGCGUGCUUAACACAUGCAAGUCGAGCGAAGCACUUUUGCGGAUUUCUUCGGAUUGAAGCAAUUGUGACUGAGCGGGCGACGGGUGAAGUAACGCGUGGUAACCGUGCCUCAUACAGGGGGAUAACAGUUGGAAACGGCUGCUAAUACCGCAUAAGCGCACAGUACCGCAUGGUACCGUGUGAAAAACUCCGGUGGUAUGAGAUGGACCCGCGUCUGAUUAGCUAGUUGGUGGGGUAACGGCCUACCAAGGCGACGAUCAGUAGCCGACCUGAGAGGGUGACCGGCCACAUUGGGACUGAGACACGGCCCAA